AGACUUGGUCGUAGAGCCACGACCAACUAAAAUUAAAGAACGCUCACCAAGA
rnacentral:sRNA from 12 species